UCAGUGGCAGGGUAGGGGUACCCAGAGCCAUGGCAGGAACCACCCCCUGCCCGCCCCCGACUAGAGGCUCAGCUUCCCUGCGUGCACCUAGCUCAGGAAGCCUUCCUUUCUAGUCUCUACAGCUGUUUCCCUCUUUUCCCAUCUCAUUCUUCCCUCUUCAUUUCUGGCCUAUCUUUUAACAUCUCCAUCCCUUUGAUGCCUCAUCCAUCUCCUCUUCACCGUCUUGUCUUUGCCUGUUCCCUUUUCUGCUUCUCUGCUCCUCUUAAGGCUGGGUUUUCCUCCUGCGUCUCCUCUGUGCGCCUGUGAGUGUCCCCUGUCUGCUCAUCCUCUCUCCCUCUGUCCACCUGUUUCUCUUUCUUCCAGCGUUUCUCCAUCUCACGCGCUGCCUCUGUCAUUUUCUCUCUUUCUUCGUCUUUCUCUCUCUCUCAUUGUUCUGAGACAUAGCAGUGCCUGGCCCAGCGGGGACAACAUGUUUCACAGACAAAUCAUCCAACAAAAGUGUGUACUUCCCUCCCACAGUAACUCUGGACUUGGCCAUGUGACUUUCUUGGGCCAAUGGGACAUGAGCAAGCUCUUUCUUGUUCUUCUACAGAUUCUUCCUCCACCUCAGCUGAAAGGAUUCAUCUUGCAGCACGGCCCACCUUGGAACCCUUUGUGUUUGCUGAAACUUUCUUUGUGAUUAUUCUUAUGUCACUGCAUAGCAUGUAAAUGUAUCACACCCCCCCCCCACCCAUUAUUAUUAUCUCCUAGUAUGCACCAGGCACUGGCCAUAAAUUAUUUCUAAUCAUCAUUAAAACUCUACCACGGUUAUCCUCCCUCUAUGGAUAGGAAAACUAAGGCUUGGAGGUUGAAGAGGUCAUGGAUCUUGUCCAAGGUCAC
rnacentral:lncRNA from 10 species